rnacentral:rRNA from 1 species
GAUGAACGCUGGCGGCGUGCUUAACACAUGCAAGUCGAACGAGAAGUGGAGACGGAAACCUUCGGGCGGAAGACUUUAUUUCGAGUGGCGGACGGGUGAGUAACGCGUGGGUAACCUGCCUCAUACAGGGGGAUAACAGUUGGAAACGACUGUUAAUACCGCAUAAGACCACAGCACCGCAUGGUGCGGGGGUAAAAACUCCGGUGGUAUGAGAUGGACCCGCGUUCGAUUAGCCAGUUGGCGGGGUAACGGCCCACCAAAGCGACGAUCGAUAGCCGAUCUGAGAGGAUGACCGGCCACAUUGGGACUGAGACACGGCCCAAACUCCUACGGGAAGCAGCAGUGGGGAAUAUUGCACAAUGGGGGAAACCCUGAUGCAGCGACGCCGCGUGAGUGAAGAAGUAUUUCGGUAUGUAAAGCUCUAUCAGCAGGGAAGAAAAUGACGGUACCUGAGUAAGAAGCCCCGGCUAACUACGUG